AGGUUCUUUAGGUUUGUCUGGAGUUUUUAAUAAUAUAAAAGAAUAUGUUACCACUACAGUUUCCAAUUUCUAUUUGUAUUAUAGAUCUUUAUCCAGUAACUCUUUUAUUAGUUCUUAUAACCUGUCCUUUGAUUUUAUUGAGUUGUCUAUAAGAGAAAUCUAUCAUACUUUUAAAUAGUAACAAAUAUAUCUUUCACUUUCCAAUUCUUAAGCUCUUACUUACAUAAGAGCUUACUUAAUUUUCUCAUUGUGUUAAGUAAUACCACUAGUUAAGUAAUACCACUAGAGUGAUCAUUACUAUCUUGUUCCUGAACUUAAUUUUAAGAUGUUUACCAAUAGCUGUUCUUUUAGUAGCAGGCGUUCAGUAGCAACCCCUUAGAGAUAGUUUCAAAUCUAAAGCUUAAAAACAGCCAGGCAAAGUAAAGAGCACCUAUAAUCCCUGCUACUGGAGAAGUGAGUACAAUUCUGAGGCCAGCCCAAGCAACAUAGGGAGACCCACCUCAAAAAAAAAAAAAAAAAAAAAGAAAAAGAAAAGAAAAGAAAAAAGAAAGAGAGAGAGAGAGAGAGAGAGAUAUUAAAAACAUGUCUGUCUGAUUCUUUGCCCAUCUUUAAUCUCUGUAGAUAGUUCCCUGUUAUGGACACUGUCAACAUCCCACUUCCAACUUCCAGCUCCUGUAACUUUUCAUGCAAGGGCUUCUUGUGGUCAUCAGUCUGCUCUGCCUGUGCAGUACAGGCUGAAAGUGCCCAGAAUUAACACUCCCUAGAAGCAGCACCCAACCAAUGACUAGAGGGAGCCGGGGUUCCCAUCCCCUAGCUCCCACUCUGCCCCUGAGCUACAUCAGCUUCUUCCAUCCUUAUCUUCAUCUCUAAGCUGGAGCUCUGAUACAGGGGAGGCUGAUGUAACAUUGUAGGACAGAACAGGAGAUAUCUAGUCACAGAACUACCUCUGGCCCUCACUGACUUCUGAGAAGGUCAUCAUUAGUCUUAACAGGACCCCACUGAAUCCAUGCACCCACUGCUGUGUGACUUCUUGUCUGUUUUUUUUUUUUUUUUGAUAGCUAUCUUGGCAGCAGCACUAUAUCACUUCUCUUCUAGGGCUAGUUUUUAUAAACUCUAUGCUUGGAUGUCUUAUCCCUCUGGAACUAACAUGCAAUAGCAUCUCUUUCAAGUCCUCAACCCUAAGCCAGGCAUGGCAGUGCAGACCUGUAAACCCAACAACUUGGGAGACUGAGGAAAGAGGAUCACAAGCUUGAGGCCAUGUCACAAAAAAAUGAAAAGAGCUGGACAUAUAGCUCAGUGGAAAAGCACCUUUUGAGUUUGAUCCCCAGUACUGAAAAAAGAAGACCUCAUCCUUUGUAAAUUGGAGGCAGUUUGGUUGCAAACUGCUGAAUCUGCUAAGAGUUUUAAAUAUCCAUUCCAUUGAGUCUCGUGGAUGAAUAGCCCAAGAAUAACAAUAAUAAUUCUAGGAGAGUGAAAGCACUUUUGGACCACUACAUAAUAUGUGUGUGUGUGUGUGGGGGGUGUUUUUGUUGUUUGUUGGUUGGCUGGUAUUAGGGAUUGAGCCCAGGGGUGUUCUACCACAUUCCCAGCCCUUUUUAUUUUUUGUUUCGAGAGUAUCUCACCACAUAGUGAAGCCUCAGACUUAAGAAGAUCCUCCUACCUCAGCCUCCUGGUUGCUUCAUUACAGGCAUGUGCUUCCACACUGGUUACAGUCUCCUCUUUUAUGUCUGUUUCCCCUUCAUGAAAUUAUCAUGCCUGUUUAGUGAUAAUUGUCUGAAAUCGCUGAUGGUGUUCAUAUGUGCAUUUUCCUUUUCUCUCUCUCUGCUGGCUUCUCCAAACUUGAAAAGAUUUGCUUGUCACUUUUGAAGAUUGCCAUGUGUUUUUAUUAAUGCUGUGAGAAAGAAAGAACAUUUAAUAUGGAGGUCCGUCAUUUGUUAUCUGGAGUAGCUCGAGCAACUUAUGAUGUCUCUAAACCGGUAGUUCUCAGUGGGACAGCACUGUACUUCCUGGGGAUUUGUUUAAAAUGUAAAUUCAGUUCUUCCCUGAACCUAUUGAAACAGAAAGUCUGUGCUGGGUCUCAGCAAAUCUGUGUUUUAACAAGUCCUAUUGUUUAACAAACCCUAAGUUUUGAUUUUGAAGCAUACUUGGUUUCCUAGAGAAUGGAUACUGACAAGUUUUUUUUUUUUUUUUUGCAAUUGAGAUUUAAAUAUGAUAAUAUAUGCAAAAUAAAUUGCUAAGUUAGGAAAUGCCUACAGGGGCUGGGGAGACAUGAGGUAAAAGGGUGGAGGAAAAUAGCCACCUUGUAGAGAGACAUUCAAAUUAUUACUACUUUUUAAAUCAUCAUACAAAAUAAAACCUGUCUAAAAGUUAAAUUCUACAAGGGGUAAGAGGCAGGGAGGGAGGGGGAAAAUGCUGGAGAGUGAUACUGGCCAAGUUAUGUUGUUAUAGUGUGUGCAUGUAUGUAUAUGUAACAACAAAUCCCAAUAGGUACAACUAUUAUUCACCAAUCUUAAAAAUGUGGGGAAAUAAAUAAAUAAGAAUUUUUUAGGGCUGGGGAUGUGGCU
rnacentral:lncRNA from 1 species